AAAGACGACGCUGCAGGAAUAUGGUGGUUACUUCGCAUGCAUCGCAGAGCAGUUGUCGUGCAGUCGUUGUCGAAGCACCUGCAUCGGGACACGUAUCUGUCGUCGCGUGAGAUUGAAACGGAUGACGUCACAAGACGACAACCCCAUGCUCUCAGCUGCACACGAACGUACGUACUAUACAUGCUGGUCGUGCAUGUUGCGUGCAGGUGACCCGCUAAUUUGCAUAUGACCUCUGCAAACCUGCUUUCGAUGCACCGAGCAUUGAGAGUGUGUCGCUGUAUACAGAAUGUGUUUGGGGAGAAGAGCGGUGUGAGUUAUACAAUCCACGCCGCUCAAUAGUCAGGAUAUUUCAUAUAGGUGGAUAUACUUUACCAUACGACUGCAAUCAACGAAGAUGGCGGAGCAGAAAACAACCCGGAAUGAGCCAUACAAGUACACAAUAAACUGUUUUGAAAAAGCUGCUAAGGGUGUGUAACCCAUCAACAAUAUCAUCCUCCCGGGUACCCAUGAACAGAGGCACACAUCGAACAAAGUC